CCAACAAAGUUUUGACAUUGAUCCCAUUUUCCACAACAUAUGUGUGUGAGCUGAGCUUUUCAAGCCUAACUGCUAUAAAAACUAAAAACAGAGAGAGACUGAAAGCUGCUGAAGAGCUUUGUGUAUGCCUUUCUUCAAUUCCUGCCAGGAUAUCGGCUUUGUGUUCAUCUAAACAGGCCCAGGUUUCACACUGAGAAGCUGCAUUAAUCACGAUGAACCCAGGCUACGCAGGCAGGACUGAGCUCUGGGACAACCUGGAGGCCGCUUCAAUCCAAGUUACUCAAGGAUGACGCAGAACUUAAAAUAAAAUAAACUGAUAAAUAGUAAAGAACACCAAAGUUUACAUUUGGAGUAUCAAAGGUCAUUAUCACAGGAUCACUGGAAUCAGGCACUAGGAGGAAAUUCCAGGACAAAUUAGGAAAUAGAAUUAACUGACAUUUGCAAAUUCUUUGCAACUAAAAAGCUGUAAUUAUAUACUAUAUAACUUUUUUUUUAAAACAUUUAAAGUAUAUAACAUUAGCACCUUGUAAUGUUAUACUAGAUGAAAAGUAAAGAAUCCUGGAACAUCUGAACAUCCAUAAUCUGAAAAUCUUGAACCUAGUGUCAAUCGAAUCAAUCCAAUCUUUCUUGUGUGCGUUUAACGGUAUUCUGUCGGACCUCUUUCCUGGUGUGGGCGUCCCCGAGCACGACUACGGCGCGAUUCAGUCGAACAUCGAGGCAGCUCUAUGCACCCGCUCCCUGCAGCCCUUCUCCAGCAUGACCGCCAAGGUGAUCCAGCUGUACGAGACCAUGCUGGUGCACCAGGGCGUCUUGCUGGUGUGCCCUACAAGAGGCGGUUAGACCACGGCGUACCGUGCCCUCGCUGACGCACUGCGCACCCUCCACGAGACAGAGGGCUGCGAGGUGAAUCCCUUCUACAAGCCCAUCGAGACCGACGUGCUCAACCCGCAGUCAGUGAGCAUGGACGAGCUGUAUGGUGAAGGCAACCCUCUCACACUGGAGCGGAGUGCCAUCAAACGUCCCUCGGCAGUGACACCGCCAACACGCACAAGUGGGUGGUGAGUGACGUACCUGUGGACGUGCCUGUGGAUUGAGAAAAUUACCGCCGUGUUGGACAACAACAAGACACUCUGUCUGGCUAACGGGGAAAGGAUCAAGCUCACACCUUCUACACACAUGUUAUUCGAGGUGUUACCCAUCAGACACAGAUAGCACCGGUCCUAAAAACCAUCACAAACAAGCACAAGCAUGUCAUUUCCAAGAAGAUUUUUUUUACAUUAAACAUGUUCCUGAUGGAAAGGUCACACACGAACGUAUCUUUAAGACUUCACUCUUUCACACGCCUAUAACGAGCAAUAAACGCAUUCGAAGCAUGUUAUAAAGCCUCCUUAAUGCAUUACGCAUAGUAUUUAAAUAAAUAUUAUUAUAAUAACAUGCACUACACUACAUUAUGCAUUAUGAAUUCUUAACGUAUUGUUAACACGUCUUUACUGUGAGCGGGAUGAUGACCAGACGCAGGCAGGCUCCCGGGUACUCAUAUCCGUAGACGUACUGAUACAGAGUCAUUCUGGCCACACACUUAUCCAGAUCCACGUCCCAGUAUUAGCACAGCUGCUUCUGCCAUUCAAAGUUACUGCUCGAGUCCACCUACGUGAACACAUACACAAAGACAUGUGAUAUAUAUACGAUCUCAUUGUAUACGAAUUGGGCAUUCUCGCUGACGAUAUAGCGUGGAUAGUUUAUAAUGAGUGCAUUCAUACUGUAUAAACCUGGGAACUGAUUUGCAUAUGCACUGCUGUCAGAGCUGCAGUUAUUUUUAAAAGAUUUAUUAACAGCUUCUGACCAAUCAGAUCUGACCACACCCAUGAUUCCCUUCGCUCUGAAGAGAAGGUGUGUAGCCAUCUGAACCCUUUCAUUGAUGAGCUCGGUGACGAUGUCUCUGGCUGGCCAUCUACAGUAAUGAGAGCUGUGAUGAUGCUCUGAUGUAUUUUGGGUAAGUUACCCAAGAGUGGCCAACACAUUCAGCCUCUGUAUAAACACACACACACGCACAGAGUAAUACCCAUACAUUACCACAUAUUACACCAUACACCAUUAUGUCAUGUAAUCAGAGAAGGAAAUCUGAACUACAGUUCCCAGCAGCCACUGCAUCACAGUCACAUGACCACCUGCACCUGGAUCACAUUCCUGGAGGACUCGGGCCCAGAGAGCAGCACAGGAGCUGGUAGAGAAGAACAGUUUACAGAUGAUGAGGAGGAGGAGGAAGAGGUCACCCUAGAUCAGCCGACUACCUUUAUGUUUUCCAAACAGCCACAACAUAGUGUUGUGAUGCAGGAGAACCAGACCGCAGCGCAGGAGCUACAGGAGGAGAAACCCUCACAGACAUGGAGGAGGAUGUGGUCGAACAGCCAGGAUAAUUUUACACCAUAGAACAGUUAACCUGGUUCUUGGAGCAGAUUUUAGGACAAGAUGAUGUCGUACUAACAAACUACUUUCCGGAUAGAAAACAAAUCAUAAAAUCUGUGGAGCACACAACAACAGGUGAGAAUCUGGGCUUGCUGUCACCAACGAGACGCUUCAGAUUGGGGAUAUGGGCAUCAGAGGCAGGGUUUAAGGAGGUGAAUGAAGCAGGAUCAGGUAACCCACCUACUUCAAACUUUUCAGAACAACCUGAAGAACUGUACACCACAGAACAGUUAAACUGUUUUCUAGACUUAAC
ensembl:lncRNA